CUACGGGACGCACCAGUAAGGAAUAUUGCGCAAUGGAGGCAACUCUGACGCAGCCAUGCCGCGUGCAGGAAGAAGGCCUUAUGGGUCGUAAACUGCUUUUAUUUAGGAAUAAACCCCCGAACGUGUUCGGGGCUGAAGGUACUAAACGAAUAAGCACCGGCUAACUCCGUGCCAGCAGCCGCGGUAAUACGUAGGGUGCAAGCGUUAUCCGGAUUUAUUGGGUUUAAAGGGUGCGCAGGCGGGCUAUUAAGUCAGUGGUGAAAUCCCGGGGCUCAACUCCGGAACUGCCAUUGAUACUGAUAGUCUUGAGUUUGGUUGAAGUGGGCGGAAUGUAGCAUGUAGCGGUGAAAUGCAUAGAUAUGCUACAGAACACCAAUCGCGAAGGCAGCUCACUAAGCCAAAACUGACGCUCAUGCACGAAAGCGUGGGGAUCAAACAGGAUUAGAUACCCCAGUAGUC
rnacentral:rRNA from 1 species